rnacentral:rRNA from 1 species
UAGGGAAUCUUCGGCAAUGGGGGCAACCCUGACCGAGCAACGCCGCGUGAGUGAAGAAGGUUUUCGGAUCGUAAAGCUCUGUUGUAAGCCAAGAACGGGUGUGAGAGUGGAAAGUUCACACUGUGACGGUAGCUUACCAGAAAGGGACGGCUAACUACGUGCCAGCAGCCGCGGUAAUACGUAGGUCCCGAGCGUUGUCCGGAUUUAUUGGGCGUAAAGCGAGCGCAG